GACGAACGCUGGCGGCGUGCUUAACACAUGCAAGUCGAACGGAAAGGCCCUGCUUUUGUGGGGUUCUCGAGUGGCGAACGGGUGAGUAACACGUGAGUAACCUGCCCUUGUCUUUGGGAUAACUUCAGGAAACUGGGGCUAAAACCGGAUAGGAUCUCCUGCUGCAUGGGGUGGGUUGGAAAGUUUCGGCGGUUGGGGAUGUACUCGCUGCUUAUCAGCUUGUUUGUGGGGUAGUGGCUUACCAGGGCUGUGACGGGUAGCCUGCCUGGGAGGGUGACCGGCGACAUUGGGCCUGAGGUACGGACCAGAACCCUACGGGAGGCAGCAGUGGGGAAUAUUGCACAACGGGCCGAAGCCUGAUGCAGCAGCGCCGCGUGCGGGAUGACGGCCUUCGAGUUGUGAACCGAUUUCGACUGUGACGAAGAGUGAGUGACGGUAAUGGGUAAAAAAGCAACGGCUAACUACGUG
rnacentral:rRNA from 1 species